CGGACCCCCAUGCUUUUCUCCAAAAAGUGAGUUUAGACAUGAACAUCUUGUCUCCAAAGUUUGCUGGCUGGAGCUAAAGUUUUCAACCAAUUCUUCUCCUUUUAUUCUAUUUGACUUUUUUUAUGUAUUCUAAUCUAGUGGCAAAUUAUCAUUGUAGUUUCUAGUUCCACCUUAGGAUUUCCUAUCCACGAUGACAGAUGAUGCCGAAGAUAAUUGCCAAGUCUCCCGGGGUUUGAUACUGUUCAAGACUUUUUCAAGCAUGGCUAUAAAACUGUCAUGGAAGGAAUCAGAGCCUCAAACAAUUUGCCGACUGGUAGCAAGUUUGAUAUGUACACAAGUUAUCCUGACUUUCAUCAUCUCAUGAAGUCCCAAGGUGGCAAAGUUCUUGAUCUCAUAAAUCUCCUGCUGAGACACCAAGGUAUUAGUGGAAACAUUCACCAUCGAGACUUAGAGGACAAUUUGAGCUAGUGGUUGAAGGAAAUGAUGCUAUUCUGGAAAGAGUGGUAAGAAAUGUUCUGAUUUUUUAUUUUACUAGGAUCAUUAUAUGCAAAUGGGAACAUUAUGUUUAUUUCAUGGUGAAAACGUUCAAUACUGUUGUUCAGAAUGUUUAGCUUGCUUGCAUUUUUUUAUUUUGUAAGAACGAGAGAAGAACUAAUGCAAAAAUUUCAAAUUUAGUAACUAACAAAUAAUCUGGUGGCAUGAAAUAUAAGUACUUCUUCUUGUUAGAUGGAUGAAAAUGGUGUAGAACAAAAGGGUCUAGUUCCUAGGGCCUCUCUUCAAUAAAAUUCUCAUAUCCUGCCAAAAAUCUUCUCUUUCAGGCUUUAGAUGUAAGUGAGGUGAACAAGGAAAAGAUUAGGAAUUCUAUCAUAAAUCAAAAUAAUCUAAUAAUUAAUAAAUAUAAUUCUUCAUAAUAAUUCUAUCAUAUUCAUAUUUCAUAUGAAUAUUUAUAUAUCAUAUCAUAUUUUGCCUCUUUCUGGAAGGAAAUUGCUAGCACACCACCCCCCUCCCCCCUGUUUCACAUUCGCUCUUGAUCUCUGUACCAUGGGUAGCUGGUUUUCUGUUUGUGAUGCCGAAGUCCUUUGGCAAUAGUUAGUCCAACUGGCCUACCUCUCCCCUGAAAAAUUCCCAUUUCUUUGUUCCAAAUUAAGAUGAAGGAUGAAGACUUAAAAAAAUUUUGUGGUAACUAUUAAGUGUGUGUUGAAUUCAGAAAGCAGUUUUAUAGAAAAAAAAGUGGUAUAAUGAUGCUUGCGACGCAACUUCUUUUUUUGUUGUCCUUGCAUAAGUUUCACUAUGAUUUACGCAAGUAUCAAAUAAGCUGCAGCAUUCACUUUCUUCAAGUGGUUUUCGGUAAUAAUUGAAACACUUUGACAAGUUUGGUACUGCUACCAGGAAUAAUUUCAGAAGUAGUAUUCAUAACCAGACACAACCAAUAGGCUCAUUUAAUAAGGUUAUGGUAAUUUUUUCUUUGCUACGUUUACAGAAUAGCAUACUACUUAGUUUUUUACCCUGCUUUGGAUACAAAAUUUCAUGUUCUCUCCUCAUCUUUUAUCAAGAUUUAAGUACUAAGUAACAUGAUCACCCUUUCUAAUCUAUUAAUGAGUUUAUUCAAUUCAUAAAUCUCAUCAACUAAAUUACGAGCAUAAUUUUAAUUUACUUUAAAAUCAGUAAAAUUCUCUUUCACUAAUAGUUGAAUGGCCACUG
rnacentral:lncRNA from 1 species